rnacentral:rRNA from 1 species
CAGUUGGCCUUUAAUUGGGGUCGGGUAUGAAAGAAUUAAUCUAAGUAUAACUGUCUCAAUCAUAUUAUUAAUAUGAAUUUACUUAUUGGGUGAAAAUUCCCAACUAUAAACAAAAGACGAGAAGACCCUUAGACUUUUUCCUAGGUGUAAAUUAGAGUUUAUUAAAGGUUUUGUUGGGGCGACAGAAUGUCAUUAAUAAACAUAUUCAUAAAGUUGUAUGAUUUAACUAAUUUUAUUACUUAAAAUUGAAGUACCUAAGGGAUAACAGCAUUAUUAAUUAAUUACAUUG